rnacentral:rRNA from 1 species
GAUGAACGCUGUCGGCGUGCCUAAUACAUGCAAGUCGAGCGAAGCGGGGACGGGUGAGUAACACGUGGAUAACCUCCUAUAAGACUGGGCUAACUUCGUGAAACCGGAGCUCAACCUUAUACUUAUAGAUGGAUCCGCGGUGCAUUAGCUAGUUGGUAGGGUAACUGCUUACCAAGGCAACGAUGCAUAGCCGACCUGAGAGGGUGAGCGGCCACAGUGGAACUGAGACACGGUCCAGACUCCUACGGGAGUCAGCAGUAGGGAAUCUUCCGCAAAGGGCGAAAGCCUGACGGAGCAACGCCGCGUGAGUGAUGAAGGUCUUCGGAUCGUAAAACUCUGUUAUUAGGGAAGCGGUACCUAAGCAGAAAGCCACGGCUAACUACGUGCAAGCAGCCGCGGUAAUAC